GUGAGGAAUAUUGGUCAAUGGGUGGGAGCCUGAACCAGCCAAGUCGCGUGAAGGAAGAAGGAUCUAUGGUUCGUAAACUUCUUUUGCAGGGGAAUAAAGUGCGGGACGUGUCCUGUUUUGUAUGUACCCUGAGAAUAAGGAUCGGCUAACUCCGUGCCAGCAGCCGCGGUAAUACGGAGGAUCCGAGCGUUAUCCGGAUUUAUUGGGUUUAAAGGGUGCGUAGGUGGUUUGAUAAGUCAGCGGUGAAAGUUUGCAGCUUAACUGUAAAAAUGCCGUUGAAACUGUCGGACUUGAGUGUAAAUGAGGUAGGCGGAAUGCGUGGUGUAGCGGUGAAAUGCAUAGAUAUCACGCAGAACUCCGAUUGCGAAGGCAGCUUACUAAGCUACAACUGACACUGAAGCACGAAAGCGUGGGGAUCAAACAGGAUUAGAAACCCUUGUAGUCC
rnacentral:rRNA from 1 species